CCUUGCCCAAUCGCAUCCACGUAAAAGAAUUUCUCUCUUUGGUACAUAAAGAAAGCAGAAAAGAAAAAUAUAUGUCGUAUAUCAGACCAGCCGUAGCCUCGUAGGCAUGUAAUGCCAUUUAACUUUCACAGAAAAUCUUCCUUUCUCCAUCCAUUUAAUCAUGCCAUUAAUUUAAAAUCCCCAUGUUUGGAUUCCAAACAUGCAUCAUACACACGGAAGAAGAAGAUGGUGGUUUAUUAAAAGGAGAGAUUUGAUUAAUUACUUCUGUGCAAAGAAGAAAACUUUUUUUACCAAGUAAAGAACAAAACUUUACCGUGGGAGAAGAAGAUCUUUAACACUUGUGCGUCAACUUGGCCUGUAAUUAUUUCCGGCCGACGCAAACGAAGCACAAGAUAAGUAGCAGCAGCUAGUAAUUAAUGACAAUGCAUGUCUCGUUGGUGAGUGGCCGAGCACUCAACAUGCGGCAGGACCUCUCGUCGAGAGUUUUCAAACCCCUUCGCUCUCUUUGUAUAUAUCAGGUGACGGCGAUGUUCCAUGGUAUGUUAUGAUACACCUCCAGGUAAACUAGGAAAAGAAGAAGAAGAAGAAAAGGGAUAAUAAAUCAAAGUUUAAGGAGAUGUUGCGUGUGUUUAAAGCUGAUGGAUACAAUUAGGGGGUGGAUUGCUCUAGUCUUAAGCCAUCAUCUUUAUAAACUAAUUAAUAUUGUUGGUUGGACACUAUCAGUAUCACAUUAUUAUUUUUUCAUAAUCUCUACCCUCA
rnacentral:lncRNA from 1 species